GAUGAACGCUGGCGGCGUGCUUAACACAUGCAAGUCGAGCGAGAAGUUUUGAAAAGAUUCUUCGGAUGAAAUUUAAAAUGGAAAGCGGCGGACGGGUGAGUAACGCGUAGGCAACCUGCCCCAUACAAAGGGAUAGCAUUUGGAAACGAAUAUUAAUACCUUAUGAAACUUAACUAGUGCAAGCUAGGUAGGUCAAAGAUUUAUCGGUAUGGGAUGGGCCUGCGUCUGAUUAGCUAGUUGGUGAGGUAACGGCUCACCAAGGCGACGAUCAGUAGCCGACCUGAGAGGGUGAACGGCCACAUUGGAACUGAGACACGGUCCAAACUCCUACGGGAGGCAGCAGUGGGGAAUAUUGCACAAUGGGGGAAACCCUGAUGCAGCAACGCCGCGUGAACGAUGAAGGCCUUUGGGUCGUAAAGUUCUGUUCUAGGUGAUGAAAACUGACAGAACCUAGGAGAA
rnacentral:rRNA from 1 species